GUUCCCAAUGAUGGUCCUAUUAUUGACCAUGCUAAUAUUGAAUUGAUUAUGAUUUUUUCGAUGUAACUGAGGGAAUG
rfam:Amborella trichopoda AMTR_V1.0_contig_26586, whole genome shotgun sequence.